rnacentral:tRNA from 1 species
AAGUUGUUUAGCUUAUAUAAUAAAGUGUAUACUUUGAAAGUAUGAGAAAGAGUCAUUUAAUAACUUA